rnacentral:rRNA from 1 species
GAUGAACGCUGGCGGCGUGCCUAAUACAUGCAAGUCGAGCGAACAGAUGAGGAGCUUGCUCCUCUGACGUUAGCGGCGGACGGGUGAGUAACACGUGGAUAACCUACCUAUAAGACUGGGAUAACUUCGGGGAACCGGAGCUAAUACCGGAUAAUAUAUUGAACCGCAUGGUUCAAUAGUGAAAGACGGUUUUGCUGUCACUUAUAGAUGGAUCCGCGCCGCAUUAGCUAGUUGGUAAGGUAACGGCUUACCAAGGCAACGAUGCGUAGCCGACCUGAGAGGGUGAUCGGCCACACUGGAACUGAGACACGGUCCAGACUCCUACGGGAGGCAGCAGUAGGGAAUCUUCCGCAAUGGGCGAAAGCUUGACGGAGCAACGCCGCGUGAGUGAUGAAGGUCUUCGGAUCGUAAAACUCUGUUAUUAGGGAAGAACAGAUGUGUAAGUAACUAUGCACGUCUUGACGGUACCUAAUCAGAAAGCCACGGCUAACUACGUG